rnacentral:rRNA from 1 species
GAUAAACGCUAGCGGCAGGCUUAACACAUGCAAGUCGAGGGGCAGCAUAGAUUGCAGCAAUACAAUUGGUGGCGACCGGCGCACGGGUGCGUAACGCGUAUGCAACCUACCCGUCACAGGGGGAUAAUCCGGAGAAAUCUGGUCUAAUACCCCAUAACAUAUGGAUCGGCGUCGGUUCAUGUUGAAAUUUUCGGAGGUGACGGAUGGGCAUGCGUAGCAUUAGCUUGUUGGUGAGGUAACGGCUCACCAAGGCGACGAUGCUUAGGGGGACUGAGAGGUUUUCCCCCCACACUGGUACUGAGACACGGACCAGACUCCUACGGGAGGCAGCAGUGAGGAAUAUUGGUCAAUGGGCGCAAGCCUGAACCAGCCAUGCCGCGUGCAGGAUGACGGCUCUAUGAGUUGUAAACUGCUUUUGUACGAGGGUAAAGUGGGUUACGUGUAACCUUUUGAAAGUAUCGUACGAAUAAGGAUCGGCUAACUCCGUGCCAGCCGCCGCAGUAA